UGGCUUCCCCACAUCUUAUAGAAGAUAAAUGAUUUGCAGCACAACUCGAUGUGAGUCCCAUUUUUCUCCUUCUGUGCCAUCUGUUGGGGAAGGAAAGAAAGGAAGCUUCAAGCCAUCCAACUAUUAUGUACAGAAAUAUCAAAGUUUACAUGAUGGUUAAAAACAUGGCUUUGGGGGGACUAAUAAGUCAUGAUUCAAAGCGAGUUGUGUCACCUGCCAAGCACCCAGAGAGGAAUACAUAACCUUGGCAAGAAGGCAUCCAUUUGCAAACCAGGAAGAGGACUCUCACCAGGAAAUGAAUCUGCCGACAUCUUGAUCUCGGACAUCCCAGUGUCCAAAACUGUAACUCACUUUGCAAAUGUUGGCUGACGGACCUUUUCCAUUUCAAAUAAAUAAAUCCCACCCAAUCACUGAUGAAAAUUUAUU